AAGUUUACAAAUAUUAAAGAAGAAUAUUUUCUUUUCCAUUCUCAUGAGAGUGAAUUAACGUUCUCAUUGACAAAAGUAAUUUGCAAUGGCAUUUCUUAGAUUAGUAGACGUCUCUGUUUGUGUCUGAUAAUCUAAUUAAGUGUUAAUACCCUUCUUUGGUAAAGCACUCGUUGUUGGGGAAUUGUUUCUUUAUGUUUUCUAAGAGUCUAGUUCUAUUUUUGCCAUUUCCCACAUAGUUCACCGUUGAAACAUAAUUCCUGCCGUGAUGAUAUUAAGAAAUGGAAGAUUUGGAAGAUGCUGAAGGCAUGGUAAUGAGAGAUUUUAUAUGUAGGAUUAGUGCUCUUUAAAGAGGUAAGGGGGAAUGCUGCCCCCUUUGUCUUCAGACAACACAACAAGGAGACAGUUUCUGUGGAACAAAAAAAUUACUAGAUCAGGCAUAGUCUGCUAGCUCCCUGAACUUUGCCUUCCAGCACUGAGAACUUUCCAUUCUUUGUGAUUUACCAACUGAAAGUUGUUUUGUUAUAAUACUUGCACAGAUGAAGACAUUGAUCUGUUUUAUAUUUUAUUGUGGCUAUACUUUUAGAUAAUGAAGGUCAGAGUAAUCUAGUCAAAAGAAUUGUUUUUAUGGACCAUUUAAAUCAAAUUUUGAAGAAGAAACAACAAAACCACAUUGGAAAUAUAAAUUAGUUUGGCAGGAAACCAUGUCAAAAGACUGAUAUUGAAAGGAUGAGAAAAUAACGCCAAAAGUUUAGUACAUGUACCACUUUAUCUACUACUAGAACUUUUGAUGUGUACAUUGUUUUAUAGAUGAUCAUAUGCAAUCAUUUACAUCUAUUCAUAGACUAGAUAUGACAUUAGUGGUCUGAAAAGAUGUUCUUUAUUGCUGAUUGGAUAGUAUAAAUCACAUUAUUUGUGUAAAAUAAAAAAUUUUC
rnacentral:lncRNA from 1 species